UGCAGUCGAACGGCAGCACGGGAGCAAUCCUGGUGGCGAGUGGCGAACGGGUGAGUAAAGCAUCGGAACGUGCCCAGUCGUGGGGGAUAACGUAGCGAAAGCUACGCUAAUACCGCAUACGAUCUGUGGAUGAAAGCGGGGGACCGUAAGGCCUCGCGCGAUUGGAGCGGCCGAUGUCAGAUUAGGUAGUUGGUGGGGUAAAGGCUCACCAAGCCGACGAUCUGUAGCUGGUCUGAGAGGACGACCAGCCACACUGGGACUGAGACACGGCCCAGACUCCUACGGGAGGCAGCAGUGGGGAAUUUUGGACAAUGGGCGCAAGCCUGAUCCAGCAAUGCCGCGUGCAGGAUGAAGGCCUUCGGGUUGUAAACUGCUUUUGUACGGAGCGAAAAGGCUUCCACUAAUACUGGGGGCUCAUGACGGUACCGUAAGAAUAAGCACCGGCUAACUACGUGCCAGCAGCCGCGGUAAUACGUAGGGUGCAAGCGUUAAUCGGAAUUACUGGGCGUAAAGCGUGCGCAGGCGGUCUUGUAAGACAGGUGUGAAAUCCCCGGGCUUAACCUGGGAACUGCACUUGUGACUGCAAGGCUGGAGUACGGCAGAGGGGGAUGGAAUUCCGCGUGUAGCAGUGAAAUGCGUAGAUAUGCGGAGGAACACCGAUGGCGAAGGCAAUCCCCUGGGCCUGUACUGACGCUCAUGCACGAAAGCGUGGGGAGCAAACAGGAUUAGAUACCCUGNUAGUCCACGCCCUAAACGAUGUCAACUGGUUGUUGGGUCUUCACUGACUCAGUAACGAAGCUAACGCGUGAAGUUGACCGCCUGGGGAGUACGGCCGCAAGGUUGAAACUCAAAGGANUUGACGGGGACCCGCACAAGCGGUGGAUGAUGUGGUUUAAUUCGAUGCAACGCGAAAACCUUUACCCACCUUU
rnacentral:rRNA from 1 species